rnacentral:rRNA from 1 species
AUACGGAGGGUCCAAGCGUUAUCCGGAAUCAUUGGGUUUAAAGGGUCCGCAGGCGGUCAAUUAAGUCAGAGGUGAAAGCCCAACGCUCAACGAUGGAACUGCCUUUGAUAGUGGUUGACUUGAGUUAUACGGAAGUAGAUAGAAUAAGUAGUGUAGCGGUGAAAUGCAUAGAUAUUACUUAGAAUACCGAUUGCGAAGGCAGUCUACUACGUAUAUACUGACGCUGAGGGACGAAAGCGUGGGGAGCGAACAGGAUUAGAUACCCUAGUAGUCC